rnacentral:rRNA from 1 species
ACGCUGGCGGCGUGCUUAACACAUGCAAGUCGAACGGAAAGGCCCUGCUUUUGUGGGGUGCUCGAGUGGCGAACGGGUGAGUAACACGUGAGUAACCUGCCCUUGACUUUGGGAUAACUUCAGGAAACUGGGGCUAAUACCGGAUAGGAGCUCCUGCUGCAUGGUGGGGGUUGGAAAGUUUCGGCGGUUGGGGAUGGACUCGCGGCUUAUCAGCUUGUUGGUGGGGUAGUGGCUUACCAAGGCUUUGACGGGUAGCCGGCCUGAGAGGGUGACCGGCCACAUUGGGACUGAGAUACGGCCCAGACUCCUACGGGAGGCAGCAGUGGGGAAUAUUGCACAAUGGGCGGAAGCCUGAUGCAGCAACGCCGCGUGCGGGAUGACGGCCUUCGGGUUGUAAACCGCUUUCGCCUGUGUCGAAGCGUGAGUGACGGUAAUGGGUAAAGAAGCACCGGCUAACUACGUGCCAGCAGCCGCGGUGAUACGUAGGGUGCGAGCGUUGUCCGGAUUUAUUGGGCGUAAAGGGCUCGUAGGUGGUUGAUCGCGUCGGAAGUGUAAUCUUGGGGCUUAACCCUGAGCGUGCUUUCGAUACGGGUUGGCUUGAGGAAGGUAGGGGAGAAUGGAAUUCCUGGUGGAGCGGUGGAAUGCGCAGAUAUCAGGAGGAACACCAGUGGCGAAGGCGGUUCUUCUGGGCCUUUCCUGACGCUGAGGAGGGAAAGCGUGGGGAGCGAAACAGGCUUAGAUACCGUGGUAGUCCACGCUGUAAACGGUGGGUAUUAGGUGUGGGGGUCCAUUCCACGGGUUCCGUGCCGUAGCUAACGCUUUAAGUACCCCGCCUGGGGAGUACGGCCGCAAGGCUAAAACUCAAAGGAAUUGACGGGGCCCCGCACAAGCGGCGGAGCAUGCGGAUUAAUUCGAUGCAACGCGUAGAACCUUACCUGGGUUUGACAUGGAUCGGGAGUGCUCAGAGAUGGGUGUGCCUCUUUUGGGGUCGGUUCACAGGUGGUGCAUGGCUGUCGUCAGCUCGUGUCGUGAGAUGUUGGGUUAAGUCCCGCAACGAGCGCAACCCUUGUUCACUGUUGCCAGCACGUUAUGGUGGGGACUCAGUGGAGACCGCCGGGGUCAACUCGGAGGAAGGUGGGGAUGACGUCAAGUCAUCAUGCCCCUUAUGUCCAGGGCUUCACGCAUGCUACAAUGGCUGGUACAGAGAGUGGCGAGCCUGUGAGGGUGAGCGAAUCUCGGAAAGCCGGUCUCAGUUCGGAUUGGGGUCUGCAACUCGACCUCAUGAAGUCGGAGUCGCUAGUAAUCGCAGAUCAGCAACGCUGCGGUGAAUACGUUCCCGGGGCUUGCACACACCGCCCGUCAAGUCAUGAAAGUUGGUAACACCCGAAGCCGGUGGCCUAACCGUUGUGGGGGAGCCGUCGAAGGUGGGACUGGUGAUUAGGACUAAGUCAUAACAAGGUA